CCUACGGGUGGCAGCAGUGGGGGAUAUUGGACAAUGGGGGAAACCCUGAUCCAGCGACGCCGCGUGAGUGAAUAAGUAUUUCGGUAUGGAAAGCUCUAACAGCAGGGAAGAAAGAAAUGACGGUACCUGAGUAAGAAGCCACGGCUAACAACGGGCCAGCAGCCGCGGUAAUACGUAGGGGGAAAGCGUUCUUCGGAAUUACUGGGUGUAAAGGGAGCGUAGACGGUAAUGCAAGUCUGGAGGGAAAGGCGGGGGCCCACCCCCCGGACUGCUCUGGAAACUGUGUAUCUGGAGUGCAGGAGUGGCAGUCGGAAUUCCUCGUGUAGCGGUGACAUUCGUAGAUAUUAGGCGGCACACCAGUUGCGAAGGCGGCCUGCUGGACUUUAACUGACGUUGAGGCUCGAACGCGUGGGGAGCAAACAGGAUUAGAUACCCUGGUAGUC
rnacentral:rRNA from 1 species